rnacentral:pre_miRNA from 1 species
AGGAGGAACAACCGCAGUGGUGGCAGCCAGCUCUGGAGCCCUAGAGUCAGCUGCCGCAGUAACUAGGGAGCCCUCCAUUUGCAGGGCCUGGAGGCUCCGGGCAGGA